rnacentral:rRNA from 1 species
GACCUCAAAUCAGGAGGACUACCCGCUGAACUAAGCAUAU